rnacentral:rRNA from 1 species
UGGGGAAUUUUGGACAAUGGGCGAAAGCCUGAUCCAGCAAUGCCGCGUGUGUGAAGAAGGCCUUCGGGUUGUAAAGCACUUUUGUCCGGAAAGAAAUCCUUGGCUCUAAUACAGUCGGGGGAUGACGGUACCGGAAGAAUAAGCACCGGCUAACUACGUGCCAGCAGCCGCGGUAAUACGUAGGGUGCAAGCGUUAAUCGGAAUUACUGGGCGUAAAGCGUGCGCAGGCGGUUUGCUAAGACCGAUGUGAAAUCCCCGGGCUCAACCUGGGAACUGCAUUGGUGACUGGCAGGCUAGAGUAUGGCAGAGGGGGGUAGAAUUCCACGUGUAGCAGUGAAAUGCGUAGAGAUGUGGAGGAAUACCGAUGGCGAAGGCAGCCCCCUGGGCCAAAUACUGACGCUCAUGCACGAAAAGCGUGGGGGAGCAAAACAGGAUUAGAUACCCUGGUAGUCCACGCCCUAAAACGAUGUCAACUAGUUGUUGGGGAUUCAUUUCCUUAGUAACGUAGCU